CACGCAGGGCGCAAGCGUUGUCCGGAAUGAUGGGGCGUAAAGAGCUCGUAGGCGGUCUGUUGCGUCCGCUGUGAAAACUCGGGGCUUAACCCCGAGCCUGCAGUGGAUACGGGCAGACUAGAGGUAGGUAGGGGAGAAUGGAAUUCCCGGUGUAGCGGUGAAAUGCGCAGAUAUCGGGAGGAACACCGGUGGCGAAGGCGGCUUCCUGGACCAACACUGACACUGAGGAGCGAAAGCCAGGGGAGCAAACGGG
rnacentral:rRNA from 1 species